rnacentral:rRNA from 1 species
CCUACGGGAGGCAGCAGUGGGGAAUUUUGCGCAAUGGGGGGAACCCUGACGCAGCGACGCCGCGUGGGUGAUGAAGGCCUUCGGGUUGUAAAGCCCUGUUGGGGGGGAAGAUAGUGACGGUACCCCCUGAGGAAGCCCCGGCUAACUACGUGCCAGCAGCCGCGGUAAGACGUAGGGGGCGAGCGUUGUCCGGAAUUACUGGGCGUAAAGGGCGUGUAGGCGGCUUUUCAAGUCGGCUGUGAAAUUCCCCGGCUUAACCGGAGGGGUGCAGUCGAAACUGGAGGGCCUGAGUGCAGGAGAGGGUGGUGGAAUUCCCGGUGGAGCGGUGACAUGCGUAGAUAUCGGGAGGAACACCGGUGGCGAAGGCGACCUCCUGGCCUGUUACUGACGCUGAGGCGCGAAAGCCGGGGGAGCAAACAGGAUUAGAUACCCUGGUAGUCCCGGCCGUAAACUCUGGGUACUAGGUGUAGGGGGCUUCGAUGCCUUCUGUGCCGUAGUUAACGCAUUAAGUACCCCGCCUGGGGAGUACGAUCGCAAGGUUGAAACUCAAAUGAAUUGACGG